rnacentral:rRNA from 1 species
AUUGAACGCUGGCGGAAUGCUUUACACAUGCAAGUCGAACGGCAGCACGGACUUCGGUCUGGUGGCGAGUGGCGAACGGGUGAGUAAUGUAUCGGAACGUGCCCAGUCGUGGGGGAUAACGUAGUGAAAAUUACGCUAAUACCGCAUACGAUCUAUGGAUGAAAGCGGGGAUCGCAAGACCUCGCGCGAUUGGAGCGGCCGAGAUCAGAUUAGGUAGUUGGUGGGGUAAAGGCCCACCAAGCCAACGAUCUGUAGCUGGUCUGAGAGGACGACCAGCCACACUGGAACUGAGACACGGUCCAGACUCCUACGGGAGGCAGCAGUGGGGAAUUUUGGACAAUGGGCGAAAGCCUGAUCCAGCCAUUCCGCGUGCAGGAUGAAGGCCCUCGGGUUGUAAACUGCUUUUGUACAGAACGAAAAGGUUUCUACUAAUACUAGGAGCUCAUGACGGUACUAUAAGAAUAAGCACCGGCUAACUACGUGCCAGCCGCCGCCGUAA